AUUGAACGCUGGCGGCAUGCUUUACACAUGCAAGUCGAACGGCAGCGCGGGCUUCGUCCUGGUGGCGAGUGGCGAACGGGUGAGUAAUUCAUCGGAACGUGCCCAGUAGUGGGGGAUAGCCCGGCGAAAGCCGGAUUAAUACCGCAUACGACCUGAGGGCGAAAGCGGGGGACCGAAAGGCCUUGCGCUAUUUGAGCGGCCGAUGUCGGAUUAGCUAGUUGGUGGGGUAACGGCUUACCAAGGCGACGAUCCGGAGCUGGUCUGAGAGGACGACCAGCCACACUGGGACUGAGACACGGCCCAGACUCCUACGGGAGGCAGCAGUGGGGAAUUUUGGACAAUGGGGGCAACCCUGAUCCAGCCAUGCCGCGUGCGGGAAGAAGGCCUUCGGGUUGUAAACCGCUUUUGUUCGGGAAGAAAUCCUCUGGGCUAAUACCCCGGGGGGAUGACGGUACCGGAAGAAUAAGCACCGGCUAACUACGUG
rnacentral:rRNA from 1 species